rnacentral:rRNA from 1 species
AACAAACGCUGGCGGCGUGCCUAACACAUGCAAGUCGAACGCGAAAAUCGGCUUCGGCCGAUGAGUAAAGUGGCGCACGGGUGAGUAACGCGUGGAUAAUCUACCCUUCAGUUGGGAAUAACUUAUCGAAAGGUGAGCUAAUACCGAAUAAAACUGCCUGACCACGGUCGGGUAGUCAAAGAUAGCCUCUGCUUGCAAGCUUUCGCUGAAUGAUGAGUCCGCGUACCAUUAGCUAGUUGGUGGGGUAAUGGCCUACCAAGGCGACGAUGGUUAGCUGGUCUGAGAGGAUGAUCAGCCACACUGGAACUGAGACACGGUCCAGACUCCUACGGGAGGCAGCAGUGAGGAAUCUUGCGCAAUGGGGGAAACCCUGACGCAGCAACGCCGCGUGAGUGAGGAAGGUCUUCGGAUCGUAAAGCUCUGUCGGGUGGAAAGAAAUGUAUGGGGUUAAUAGCCUUCAUACUUGACGGUACCACCAAAGGAAGCACCGGCUAACUCCGU